CCACAGGUUCAUGAGCAAGAGAAUAGAAGUCAGAUUCAUUUAUAAGGCCUCUGCCAAACUAAUUUAGCUCCUGCUAUAGGUACCACUCAGAAUUCAUUUUCACAGAUGCUCUUUUUAAUCUUCACAAUGCGGAGCUGAGUGGAUGCUCUCAAAGGCCCCCUAGUUUCUUGUAUGUCUUGUUUUGAAGAUGCAGAGUCUUCCCAAAGACUGAAUUUACUGUAUAAUUGUAUUGAGCACACUAGACAACUUCAAGUGAAUACCAGGGGUACAUCCAGU